GCCCAGUCCGCCAGGUGGUCGGGAAGGCAGCCGGCGCCCCCAGAUUUAGAACUGUUGCAGUGCCGAGCUUCCAGGGACGUGAAGCCGGAAAGCCAGGCGCCCUUCUUGACUGCGCCUAGGUGGAACUGGCCCUCCAGCAGCUUGAACGUAGCGUCUUUUCACACUGGUAGUUCCUGAGCCUCUUGUGAAAUGAAAGAUGUUCCUCAGUCCAAACUGAGGACGGAGAAAAGCUGUAAAGCUGACACUGAAGCUAGAAUGACUUGUCAGCCACCUUUGAGCAAGAACUUGCCUGGAGUCCAAAUGUAUGGCUAUUGAAGGAUAGUAAGCAGACAGCACUAAAAGUCAUCCAUUUGUUAUGGAUUUAGUCUUAAGACCCUCAUUUGAGAGAUGCCUUCCCCAUACCUGAGGAAAGAAACAUCCUUAUCUCUGAAGACACAGGGCCACAGAGAAGAGUCUGAACAAACAGGCUUUAC